ACAAGCCACAUCAUGUUAGAUAUUUAAGAUAUAUUUAAAUACAUGUAUUCUUAAAAUUUAUAGAAGGCAUUGGACCUACAGUAAAUAUUUUAUAGGCUAUUAUUUAAUGGUUAAAACCACUUGUUAAUAUUCCAUUUGACAUUGUCAGUGGGCAUUCAGGCAAGCCUGACUUGCUCCCACAUUUCUCUAUUCUCUUUAAGAUGGGACACUGACUCUGUCCUGAGGGAUUCCUCAGGAUGUAGUUUGAUUUUUAGAUCUUAUGAAAGGAGUGACUAACAUGUUCUGUGUAACAGCAUAGCCAAAAUGAGAGCUUAAAUCAUAAUUUCAUGGCUGGACUUACUUCACCAUGGGAUCCCAAAUUCCCUUGGGCUAGAUGGUGAAAGUGGCAUCUUAAGUUUAAAAGUGACUGUAUUUGAUUGCAUUAAGUUUUAAGUUGGUCAUGUAGGAGGCACUAAUUGUUAAAGUGAUCAUAUCAAUAGAAUUAAUAUAAUUAAAGAGGAGUAAAUGCUUUAACAUGGGAAGCAGUCCAUACAGCAGACUCAUAGAAUGGCAAUUGCUCUAAGUAACGCUCAGUGACCUCAGAGUCAUCCCUAAAGGCAUUCUGAUCUGGCUAAAAAGCCCACAAGAGCAUUUCAGGCAUGGAAAGUCAGGACACUUGUGCGAAAAGGUGUACCUACAGGGAGAGUCUCCCUGGGUGAGACUCCUGUGGAAAGAAGUGGUCAUCAAAGAAGGAUGUACUCUCUUCAAAGGGAGAACUUUCACUUUGCUUACAUCCUUCUCUAAAUAUUGACUGAGUUUGUGGAUUCAGAAGGCUUCCAUAGCCUAGACAGCUCAUGUCAAGAGCCUUGGGUGAUCACUGACAUCACACAAAAGAGUGUGAAUUGUUAAAUUAACCAUAGGAGUCACUGUGCACUAACUUCCCAUGCAGGACCUCAAGACUAUGCUUAAAAAAACAGAGGGGAGAGUAUGAUACCCCCACUAUUAGUGUAUUAACUUUGCUCCUUUCACCAUAAAGUUCUUAUAGGUCUCACCCCCUGGAGAGCCACCAGCAUUGAAAUGCUGGAGACCUCUCACAGGUGCAACCCAAUUGCCUCUGGUUUGAUGGAGGGACCCAACCACCCAACAAUGGAAGGGGCCUGAUCCCCUCAUAAUGAUGGGCAAAGGUUUUGCUUGUGUUUUCCAGAGAUCACUCUGCAGCCUGUGUGGAUAGCAGCCUGAAAUGCCAAACCCUGGACCCAGUCUCUGAAAGCUCACCCUCUGACAAGCCAACUUCAGCGCCUUUCCCUGAACAAGCCAUUCACAGAAAGAUCCUCUUCAGAUCAGCUACAGCUUAAAUGGAAGGGACCUUACCAGGAAACUGGGUUGCCAGCGUCACUGCAGAGAACAAGAACAGUCCCACAGUGACAGAGGUGGAGCCUGGAGCUGGAGUCUCUACAAGCGGCAAGGACCCAUGGCAGUGUGGCCAGGAGUUCCCCAGGUCUCACAGAGGACAGAUGAAGAAGUCAAUAAAACUGGAGAAAAAGAUUCUACACACUUUUCAAAAGAUAAAGAGGAAGAAUACAUCUGGACUAAUCCAUAAUGCAAACAUUAUACAACUGCAAUGAUUGAAGAAAUCAAAUUUCCACAUGAGCAAUAAUAUAAAAAAUCAAACUAAAUUUUGAAACAGGAUAUUCUUCAAUAGGUGAAUGUAUGAGUAAACUGUGUUGUGUCUGAGAGACCUCAGCCUGGAUGAAGGCGCAGCUAUUUUAGAAUAGGCCUCCAUCUUGUAAUUCAGGCCUGACCGAGCCCUGAACCCUGAAGCUCAUGAAAGAAAAAAUAAAUAAAUGAACUCCCCUUGCAAUAAACCCCACCUAGCAACAGCCAAUCAGCAGCUAGCAGGGAGAUACCUAAAGUUUCAGGUGUCUUUUCAGGCACUUAAGGUAAUUGAUAAUAUCCUGAGACCCUGCAGUUUGGCAAGUACACCAUAGUGGCUCUGACCCUAUACUUUAGCCAAUCAUUUUUUUUUUUACUUUUUGACAGGCAGAGUGGACAGUGAG